AUUGAACGCUGGCGGCAUGCCUUACACAUGCAAGUCGAACGGUAACGCGGGGCAACCUGGCGACGAGUGGCGAACGGGUGAGUAACACAUCGGAACGUGCCCAGUAGUGGGGGAUAGCCCGGCGAAAGCCGGAUUAAUACCGCAUACGACCUAAGGGUGAAAGCAGGGGAUCGCAAGACCUUGCGCUAUUGGAGCGGCCGAUGUCAGAUUAGGUAGUUGGUGGGGUAAAAGCCUACCAAGCCGACGAUCUGUAGCUGGUCUGAGAGGACGACCAGCCACACUGGGACUGAGACACGGCCCAGACUCCUACGGGAGGCAGCAGUGGGGGAAUUUUGGACAAUGGGCGCAAGCCUGAUCCAGCCAUGCCGCGUGCGGGAAGAAGGGCCUUCGGGUUGUAAACCGCUUUUGUCAGGGAAGAGUCAAGACUGUACCUGCAGAAGAAGCCCCGGCUAACUACGUGCCAGCAGCCGCGGUAAU
rnacentral:rRNA from 1 species